CUGGAGUCCCCAUGCGUCAUACUUCUAUUCAGUAUUAAACUGUUUUAGUGCUAUACAAGAGUUAUUCCCUCUGUGCUGCUCUGUCUAAUGAGAAGCAUGGGUUGCAAUGGGUGACUGUGAUUGGCUGAGGGUGUCAACUGACAAUUCAGUGUCCAUUCAGAUUUGGCUAACUAGAAGGAAGUAUGUAAUAUCUGUUUUAGUCACACCUCCAGUACGGG